GACGUAGGUGGCGAACGUUAUCCGGAAUUAUUGGGCGUAAAGGAUGCGUAGAUGGUGUAGUAAGUUAUCGGUGGCAAAUCGAGGCUCAACCUCGUGGAAGUCGGUAAUACUGCUAUGCUAGAGGAUAGGAGAGGUUAACGGAACUCCCUGUGGAGCGGUGAAAUGCGUAGAUAUAGGGAAGAACACCCGUGGCUAAGGCGGCUCUCUAGUACGGUACUGACGCUGAGACGCGAAAGCGUGGGGAGCGAACAGG
rnacentral:rRNA from 1 species